rnacentral:rRNA from 1 species
GACGAACGCUGGCGGCGUGCUUAACACAUGCAAGUCGAACGAUGAAGCUGGAGCUUGCUCCGGUGGAUUAGUGGCGAACGGGUGAGUAACACGUGAGCAAUCUGCCCUUCACUCUGGGAUAACUGCGGGAAACUGUAGCUAAUACCGGAUACGAGACCUUGGGGCAUCCCAGGGUCUGGAAAGAAUUUCGGUGAAGGAUGAGCUCGCGGCCUAUCAGCUAGUUGGUGAGGUAAUGGCUCACCAAGGCGACGACGGGUAGCCGGCCUGAGAGGGUGACCGGCCACACUGGGACUGAGACACGGCCCAGACUCCUACGGGAGGCAGCAGUGGGGAAUAUUGCACAAUGGGCGAAAGCCUGAUGCAGCAACGCCACGUGAGGGAUGAAGGCCUUCGGGUUGUAAACCUCUUUUUGUAGGGAAGAAGCGCAAGUGACGGUACCUACAGAAAAAGCACCGGCUAACUACGUGCCAGCCGCCGCAGUAA